rnacentral:tRNA from 1 species
ACCAGUAUGGUGUAGUGGUUUGAGCAUUAGACUACGACCCUGGAGACCAGGGUUUGAAUCCCUGCUCAGCCA